UACACGGAAGGCUUAGGAUGACUUCAGCUUAGGCAUGGGGCUUGAGGCACCUUUUAAAAUGGAGGUCGGCAGGUCAUUCUAAAUCAUGAUGUCCAAUAUAGCAUCAGCUCACCACCGUCUCAUUGAGCUCAAGAGAUUUACUUCCACAAAACAUACUUGGGACUGGACGGAGAGGUGGCCGGCAACCCUAUGAUUUCACUAAGCUGGCAGCCAUCUUAUGCCAGUGUGCUAUCAGCUUAACUUUGUUGGGAUCCUAUAUAAUUCCAGCACAAGAAGAAAACCAAAGCAUUCCCCUCCUGCCGAAGACCCACAGAACCCCAACGGCCACUCCCCCCCAGUCCAUGGCAACACUACGGGCAGACACCACUCAGAAGCUGGCAUGCCAGCGACACUCACCCCACCUGUUGGAGGGCGACCUGUGAAGAGCCAAGAGAGACGCAGGGACAAUAAUGAGCAACAGCCAGAAGCUGCAGCACCUAGGCUCUGACUUUAGAUGUUCAGAGCUGUAGUGGAACGCUCUGUAUGCUGUGUCCAGUCUGUUCCAUCUAGCCUGGCUGUAAUCCUGCAGAGCAAAAGGGAUCAUGAGUGCUUGGCCAGCAGUGACUGAAGUGGAGUGCCGGCAUUCACCAAGAGAGAACCCACCUGAGUAGGAGUUCAUGGCCACUUCCCUGUUCUGCACAGUGCAUACUGGUUUUACCGCUCUUUCAUAUGGUCUGAAUGUGUCAUUCCUCCAGAGAAUACUUUGUAAAGGGCUAGAUGUAUGAAUCACAUUAGAAGACAUUUAGAUUUUGUGGUGGCUUUUCAUUUAUUACUAUGUUAACUGUUUAUAUCGCUCAUAUUCCCAAAUAACUGGUUUAAACAGCAGUUUUAAUUCUUUUUAAUACACAGCCAAAUGGCAUUUGGCACCCAGUGGAAUAUUCUAUACCAUUUCCCCAAAGGGUAAGAAAAACCAUGUAUGCCACCUUGAGCGCCUCGGGAAACAAAUAUAAUUCUAGGGUUUUGUUUUAUUUUUAAAUUGGUGUAGGAGUCGAGUAAAAGUAUUUACAAUAUCACGUGUUCCCCCAAAAUAUGUAGAUUGUAAGUUAAGGUGCCUGCCUUAACUUUCAGACUGUGUAAGCAAUAAACUUUUCUUUGUGGUUGCUUAGCCUCCACGCACCCACA